AAGCAACACUCUGUGGCAGAUGAAUAAAACUAUCUGACACAAUUUGAGCUUGCUAUAGCAAGAUAGUCCAACCUAUUCCGGCGUUCUCUUUCCCCGUGAGACAAGCCGUUAUAUAGACUCAAACAAA